AUUGAAUUAACACUGGAAAGAAAUAACAAUUUUUUUUUAGUAUAUUAAUUCAAGGACUUCACCUGUGUCUUAAUUGAUGAACAAGGAUGAUGCUAUAUUGGUAUGUUAACAGAAAAAAAGUCCAUCCAAGGGCCUAUUUCAUUUCUUAUGUCUUAGACUACUUUUAAGCUUUCGAGCGAAGGACCAAAACAAUCGAAAUUCAGCAAGGAGCCAAUACAUGUAAAGUUAUAUAAAAUUAUUUUAUUUUAUUUUUAAAUUAGGUUUAACAUAUAAUUUUAAAAAAUAUUUAAAAUAUUUGGGGGGCCAUGACACCCUCCGGCCCCCAGCUCCGUCGCUGGACCAAAAGAUGUCGAACCUAAGUAGUGACAGCACCAGUUUUGCAACCAUGAUAUGUUUUGAGUUUUUUUUUUAAGAAAAAAUAUAAUAAAAGACAAGAUACAAAGAGCACCCUGAUUUGGUAAACACUUGUGCUUUAUAUGUUUAUCUAUGUGCUUUUUUUAAUUUUAUAAAUAAGGUCAGAGAAAAAUGAGUAGAAAAGGAAUGGAAAAUAGUGUAAAAGCAAGUGCUCCUCCCCUUUAUGCAGCAUUUUGAAGAAUCUUAUCUCAAAGGGCUUUCUUUAUUUGGAAGAAAUUAUUGCGCUCCUUGUUAGCCGCAUCGACAUCAUCUGAAGAGGCAACUGCAACUACAGUUCCUUUAUCCUUGACCGAUUCGAUUGCAUCGGCAAAUUCUUUAAAGUCCUUCACACUG